UUGUUUCUGGACAGGGCCUAGGUUGGGGACUAGUGGUUGUUUCUGUAUAGGGUCUAGGUUGGGGCUACGGGUUGUUUCUGGAUAGGGCCUAAGGGUUGUUUCUUGACAGGGCUUAGGUUAGGGUUAUUUUUUAGGGCUUGGAACCCUAGUUAGACUGCUGUUAAGGAUAAAUAACUGUUACAGAUCACAUGUCUAUUUAAAUAGAUUUGACAGUAAUGUUUUUUAAAUAUAAAUAUUAAGUAAAACAAAUGUUUGUAUGUUGGGGGGGCAAUGGAACUUGACACUGUACGCAUUUGUUGGUUGCAUCGUUGCGUAAUAAAGACAACGUGUAGGUAGUCUACUACUUUGAAAAUCUAUUAUUUCAUAUAUACUUUACAGAAAUAUAAACACAACAUGUAAAGUGUUAGUCACAUAUUUCAUGGGAUGAAAUAAAAGAUACCAGAAAUGUUCCAUAUGCACAA
ensembl:lncRNA